rnacentral:rRNA from 1 species
CGGCGUGCCUAAUACAUGCAAGUCGAACGGCUUUCUAUGGAAGCUUGCUUCCACUGAGAAGAUAGUGGCGAACGGGUGAGUAACACGUGGGUAACCUGCCCAGUAAGAGGGGGGAUAACAUCCGGAAACGGGUGCUAAUACCGCAUAGUUUUCUUGAUCGCAUGAUUGAGAAGGAAAGACGGCCUUUGUGCUGUCGCUUAUGGAUGGACCCGCGGCGUAUUAGUUAGUUGGUGAGGUAACGGCCACCAAGGCGACGAUGGGUAUCCGGCCUGAGAGGGUGUACGGACACAUUGGGACUGAGAUACGGCCCAAACUCCUACGGGAGGCAGCAGCCAAGAAUAUUCCGCAAUGGACGAAGUCUGACGGAGCGACGCCGCGUGGAUGAAGAAGGCCCGGAAGGUUGUAAAAUCCUUUUGCUGAUGAAGAAUAAGUGUGGUAGGGAAUGACCGCAUGAUGACAUUAGUCGGUGAAUAAGCCCCGGCUAACUACGUGCCAGCAGCAGC